rnacentral:tRNA from 1 species
CGGGGUGUAGCGCAGUUGGUAGCGCGGGUGGUUUGGGACCAUCAGGUCGCGUGUUCGAGCCACGUCACUCCGACCA